CAGACCCCCCAGGAUCCCUUGUAUUUCACACCUUGGAAAAGUGUCGAAACAUAGAAACCCUGUGGCCGGUCCACACAGUCCUGUGGAUGACCUACUAAACAUUUGGAGGGAAAAACCUCAUUGGAUCAGUUUUUGUUGUGCAGUUCAAGAAUUUAACCCUUUGUUUCCAAACAAAAUAAAUCAUUUUCUGAAGGCUUAGAAGACCCUAGGAGACCCUGGUUCCCCAGUGGAAAAACGUCACAAAGUCCGUAUAUUAUUCAGACACCAAACCUGAUUGCCACUUUAUUAAUGGUGGUGAUGUCAUGGUGGUGACGCAGGAAUAAACAGACGAGAAAGAUUAUAUUUAAGCUCCUCGGGUCACAUGUGCACCAUUACAAGCCUGGUGAUGUGCUCUGUGUGAGUGCGGGGGAUCGAUCACAUGGACGCUGUCCUUCAUGGUCUGGUGGAGAUCGUGAUCAUUCAGCGAGACCCUCUCACGGGACGAUUACUCCCACACACACAAACACACAGUGGUGAUCCGUGACUAUCAGAGUUAGGCCUUCAAUUUAGGCCAUAAAUGUCAAACCUCGGUCAAAACAUGAGGAAAAACUCCCCACAAUGAAAAUGCUAACUUCUGUUAGCGUCCCUACAGCAGUAUAGUAGUUUGUUAGCGCUAAGCUAAUUGCGAUUCACAUGAAGACUGAAGGGUCUUAUUUGAAUAUUCUGUUCCACCUUAAACGGUGCUGCAGUCACAUUUUGGUGCAUUUAGGCAAAUUAGGCAUGGAAAAUUCCAAAGAUGCAGUUCCAGAUUAAGCACAGACAUUUGGAGCUUCUGAAAGACACUCAGUGUUUUACUUGAAGUUUGUGACAGACAUGCUACACACAUAUUUUACCUGUAGCAGUUUCACAGUGAGCUUUGGUGUGGGUCAUUCUCCAUUUAGAUUGGGAAGUCAGGUGGACACAUUUUUAAAAAAUCAAUUUCAAUUUAUAUAAAAAUCAAUAUUUGGCAUUAUUUUGCCAAAAUUUUAAUUACCCAGCCAUUAAAGCACAUAACACCUGUGACACAUAGAAAUUAUGUGCUGUGUGAUAAACAAAAUUAUUAAUAAAUUAAUGAAAUAUAGUGAGCGAGAGUGACUCGCCUUCUCAUGCCUUCAGAUGCUUCCUCUCUGAUGAGCCUCGACCCAAACAAGCAGUUUAACAGAGCUGAAAAUACUGUUCAAAUGUAAAAUAAGAGUCCUGAGUGACCAAAAUCUCUGACAAAUACAUUUUUUAAAUAAAAUUUUGUUUUUAAAAGUAAAAUAUAAAUUGUUUUAUAUUAAAAAUGGUUUCUCAAAUGUUGAAAAUUGGUUUUGUGGUGAGCUGUUUUACAGAUGCAGAGCGACUAUGAAACAGGAUAAAAAAAGAAAAACCAGAGAAUCAUAAGAGAAAAGUAAUAUUUAAUCUUAGGUCACUGUGUAAAUGUACAGACCGACUUUUGGAGCUGUGCCUCAUAUUUUAAGCAUCUUUUUAAGCCCUGCAGCCUUUGUGACAUGGUUUCCCCUCCAAACGGAGAAUGACCCAUAUAGAGUUGCUGCUGCUGUUUUGCAUUUCUAACAUCCCACUGAUUAGGCUGCUAUUUGUACAUACAGCCAAUGAUGUAUCUAGAACUUCCAGAAGGCCUAGAGUUAUGUUUUAUCUAACAAAAUUGGUCCCACCCAUUAGAAAUCAAAACAUGAUUGGCUGAUUCCUCUGUCACUUUGUAAUUAUGCUGAUAGUUAAUCUAAUGCAUUAGACCUUCUCUUCAGCUCCUGAAGUCCUAACCAACAGGAGAGCUCGCUUAGAUAAAUCUACCACAGAGAAAAGCAAUUCCUGAUUGGCCAAUUUUCCAUGGGGCUUUUCAAGAAUUUAACUGUUUUGUUUCCAUCCAAAACUUGCAAAUGAACUAAGAGCAGUGCUGUAAUAUUUGCAGAAUAUAAACAAAAGCAUGAUUGUAUUAAAUAAAAAUUGACUUACAUGCAUUUUUAAUUCCCAGAAGGCAUUAGGCCUUCUUUGAAGGCCAGAAGACCCUGAGGGGUCUCCACUAUAUAUACAUAUAUACAUACAUAUAUAUCUGGCAUAUCUGGUUAUGUAGUAAAAUUAAUAUUCAGAAUUCAUCGUAUUUUAAAAGUGGAGAUGAAAUAUCACAGAAGAGAACUUGACAAAAAACAAAUUGCUGUAAUUACUAUAUUAAGCAUUUU